rnacentral:lncRNA from 1 species
CUGUUGUGCUCCAAUUGGUUGCUGUCCAAGUGAAGCAGGGUUUAAAUAUGGACGCUGGAGAGUGCAGAGAACAGAGAAACAGGAAAGACAUCUCUCUGCCACAUCUAAGCACCAGUCAUCUAGGAAAGGCUAACAUCAUGCAGUCUGUAGCUGUGCUUGUGUGCCUUCUUGGGACAACCCUGGCAUUUCCUUUGAGUCCAUUUGGCAAUGUGGGAUCAAAGCCUCUACCCUACCCGCCUUCAUCUCGGACACAAGGACUCGGAGCUCCUGUUAUCCUUGAUAUGGAUGUACAUCCAGCACCCUUUGCACCUUCAUCUCCGACACAAGGACAAGGAGCUGCCGCUAACCUUGAUGUAGAUGUAGUGAUGCCUAUGGGAUAUCCCCAGCAGAUGUUGCCUUCUGUUGGAUUCUCUAACCCCAUGAUGCCUCAGUACCCAGGGAGAAUGAGUCUUGAAAUUCUUUAUCCAUUUGGCUACCCACCACAAGCACAGCAACCUAUGUACCCAUUUUAUAUGGGAUAUUAAUAGACCAUAUGAAAAGAAUCAUAAGGGAAGCAGAAGUAUGAACAGUGUGACAACCCCCUCUACAUCGGCAAAGCUGAGGCACCUGCCUUUUCUGCGAACAUCGGUUUAAACAAAAACUUCGCACUUCAUUUUUUCCUGUAAUUUCCAUAAUUGUUUUUACAGAAUAAUGACAUCCUAAAAAGUAGUUCAUCCUAAAUGGAGUUGCUAUGUGGAGAGAAAAUGGUCUGAUAAUUGUGUGCUUAGGUAUUUCAUGUACUUUUUAUUAUGUCUUUAAUAAAAUAUAUAUAAUGCAAUACUUCUCUAUUUUUGGUAGUAUUUUUGUGAAUUAAAUGCAUAAGUCACUGAGUUCAA